GUUUACUCGUGUUGUUUCUCAAGAAGUGAUGUGACUUAAUUUCAGUGUUUUACAAUAAUUAGGUAUUUUGUCUUGCUUCACUGAUGUCCUGCUUUUGCCAAAACAAUCUAUUUUCUCCCAUAAGUGUUUUAGGUUUCUAAAAGGAUGUAAUGUGAUGUAGACCCUAUUUAAACUUCUAUCUGAUAAACUAGUGAAGCAAUUUAAAUUAUUCACUUUACAUCUAUUGUGUGCUAGCACAGGGAUAUAGCAAUGAAUAGAGCAGAAAAACAUACUGCCAGUUUUGGAGCUUACAUUCUUCCGGCUGAUUAUUAACAGUGUGAGCCAUGAAGUGUGACAGACUGAGAAGCUUCUCUAGAAUAGCUUUAUUUACCCUAUGAAAAGAAAAGGUCGACCACUGGACCACUGCAUAGGAUUGGGGCAUGAGGGUCUCAGCAGUCAGCAUUCCGAAUCUCUUCUAUUUCUCCCUCUCUCCUUUACUACUUUGUGCUCCUCUCCUUUCUUUAUCCCAAUUAUCCUCCUACUUCCCCUAAGUGUUGAAAUCAUGUAAGUCAAUAUAGUACUAACUAAAUAUUUCCAUAUAAUAUUUGACCACUAGCUGAUAGGAAAUCUGAUGGUUAGAAUAUAAAAUGACAGUUCAACACAGAUUUUCAGUGAUGGAUUGUAACAUAAGAAGUAAUAAUUUUUUU